rnacentral:tRNA from 1 species
GCCUGGGUGGCUCAGUCAGUUAAGCGUCUGACUUCCACUCAGGUCAUGAUCUCACGGUCCAUGGGUUCGAGCCCCGCGUCAGGCU